CCUACGGGAGGCAGCAGUGAGGAAUAUUGGACAAUGGGCGCAAGCCUGAUCCAGCCAUGCCGCGUGCAGGAAGAAGCAUCUAUGGUGUGUAAACUGCUUUUGUACAGGAAGAAACACUCCCUCGUGAGGGAGCUUGACGGUACUGUAAGAAUAAGGACCGGCUAACUCCGUGCCAGCAGCCGCGGUAAUACGGAGGGUCCGAGCGUUAUCCGGAAUCAUUGGGUUUAAAGGGUCCGUAGGCGGUUUAAUAAGUCAGUGGUGAAAUCUGGUCGCUCAACGAUCAAACGGCCAUUGAUACUGUUAGACUUGAAUUAUAAGGAAGUAACUAGAAUAUGUAGUGUAGCGGUGAAAUGCUUAGAUAUUACAUGGAAUACCAAUUGCGAAGGCAGGUUACUACUUAUGGAUUGACGCUGAUGGACGAAAGCGUGGGGAGCGAACAGGAUUAGAUACCCUGGUAGUCCACGCCGUAAACGAUGGAUACUAGCUGUUCGGAGCAAUCUGAGUGGCUAAGCGAAAGUGAUAAGUAUCCCACGUGGGGAGUACGUUCGCAAGAAUGAAACUCAAAUGAAUUGACGG
rnacentral:rRNA from 1 species